rnacentral:rRNA from 1 species
UUGGAGGGCAAGUCUGGUGCCAGCAGCCGCGGUAAUUCCAGCUCCAAUAGCGUAUAUUUAAGUUGUUGCAGUUAAAAAGCUCGUAGUUGAACUUCGGGAUUUACCCAUUGGUCAGGCUUAAUUGUCUGCACUGGUGAGAUAAAUCUCUACCUUCUGAGGAACUUUCAUGCCAUUUAUUUGGUGUGAUUGGAAAUCAGGACUAUUACUUUGAAAAAAUUAGAGUGUUUAAAGCAGGCUAACGUCUGAAUAUAUUAGCAUGGAAUAAUGAAAUAGGACGGCUUGGUUCUAUUUCGUUGGUUUUUAGGAUCACCGUAAUGAUUAAUAGGGAUAGUUGGGGGCAUUAGUAUUCAAUUGUCAGAGGUGAAAUUCUUGGAUUUAUUGAAGACUAACUACUGCGAAAGCAUUUGCCAAGGAUGUUUUCAUUAAUCAAGAACGAAAGUUAGGGGAUCGAAGACGAUCAGAUACCGUCGUAGUCUUAACCAUAAACUAUGCCGACUAGGGAUCGGACGAAGUUAAUUUUAUAAUGACGCGUUCGGCACCUUACGGGAAACCAAAGUGUUUGGGUUC